rnacentral:rRNA from 1 species
AGUGAACGCUGGCGGUAGGCCUAACACAUGCAAGUCGAACGGCAGCACAGUAAGAGCUUGCUCUUACGGGUGGCGAGUGGCGGACGGGUGAGGAAUACAUCGGAAUCUACUUUUUCGUGGGGGAUAACGUAGGGAAACUUACGCUAAUACCGCAUACGACCUACGGGUGAAAGCAGGGGAUCUUCGGACCUUGCGCGAUUGAAUGAGCCGAUGUCGGAUUAGCUAGUUGGCGGGGUAAAGGCCCACCAAGGCGACGAUCGGUAGCUGGUGUGAGAGGAUGGUCGGCCGCACUGGAACUGAGACACGGUCCAGACUCCUACGGGAGGCAGCAGUGGGGAAUAUUGGACAAUGGGGGCAAGCCUGAUCCAGCCAUACCGCGUGGGUGAAGAAGGCCUUCGGGUUGUAAAGCCCUUUUGUUGGGAAAGAAAAGCAGCAGGUUAAUACCCCGCUGUUCUGACGGUACCCAAAGAAUAAGCACCGGCUAACUUCGUG